rnacentral:rRNA from 1 species
GACGAACGCUGGCGGCGUGCCUAAUACAUGCAAGUCGAGCGGACGGAUGGGAGCUUGCUCCCUGAAGUCAGCGGCGGACGGGUGAGUAACACGUGGGCAACCUGCCCCUAAGAUCGGGAUAACUUCGGGAAACCGGAGCUAAUACCGGAUAUGAUCAUCCCUCACAUGAGAGAUGAUGGAAAGACGGUUUCGGCUGUCACUUAGGGAUGGGCCCGCGGCGCAUUAGCUAGUUGGUGAGGUAACGGCUCACCAAGGCGACGAUGCGUAGCCGACCUGAGAGGGUGAUCGGCCACACUGGGACUGAGACACGGCCCAGACUCCUACGGGAGGCAGCAGUAGGGAAUCUUCCGCAAUGGACGAAAGUCUGACGGAGCAACGCCGCGUGAGUGAAGAAGGUUUUCGGAUCGUAAAACUCUGUUGUCAGGGAAGAACAAGUACCAUAGUAACUGAUGGUACCUUGACGGUACCUGACCAGAAAGCCACGGCUAACUACGUGCCAGCCGCCGCCGUAA